rnacentral:tRNA from 1 species
GGGAACAUAGCUCAGUGGUACAGCACAUGCCUGGCAAGCGUGAGUCCCUGAGUUCAAUUCCUGGUACCA